rnacentral:rRNA from 1 species
UACGAAGGGGGCUAGCGUUGCUCGGAAUUACUGGGCGUAAAGGGAGCGUAGGCGGAUAGUUUAGUCAGAGGUGAAAGCCCAGGGCUCAACCUUGGAAUUGCCUUUGAUACUGGCUAUCUUGAGUAUGGAAGAGGUAUGUGGAACUCCGAGUGUAGAGGUGAAAUUCGUAGAUAUUCGGAAGAACACCGGUGGCGAAGGCGGCGUCACUGGCGUCGUAUCUGACGCUCAGGCGCGACAGCGUGGGGAUCAAACAGG